AGCGAACGCUGGCGGCAGGCCUAACACAUGCAAGUCGAACGAACCUUUCGGGGUUAGUGGCGGACGGGUGAGUAACACGUGGGAACGUGCCUUUAGGUUCGGAAUAACUCAGGGAAACUUGUGCUAAUACCGAAUGUGCCCUUCGGGGAAAAGAUUAAUCGCCUUUAGAGCGGCCCGCGUCUGAUUAGCUAGUUGGUUGAGGUAAUGGCUCACCAAGGCGACGAUCAGUAGCUGGUCUGAAAGGAUGAUCAGCCACAUUGGGACUGAGACACGGCCCAAACUCCUACGGGAGGCAGCAGUGGGGAAUCUUGCGCAAUGGGCGAAAGCCUGACGCAGCCAUGCCGCGUGAAUGAUGAAGGUCUUAGGAUUGUAAAAUUCUUUCACCGGGGACGAUAAUGACGGUAACCGGAGAAGAAGCCCCGGCUAACUUCGUG
rnacentral:rRNA from 1 species